AUAUUUCUUACUAAAGCUAAAUACCGGCCAGAGACCGAUAGCGCACAAGUAGAGUGAUCGAAAGAUGAAAAGCACUUUGAAAAGAGGGUUAAACAGCACGUGAAAUUGUUAAAAGGGAAGCGCUUGUGACCAGACUUGCGUCCGGUGAAUCACCCAGCUCUCGCGGCUGGGGCACUUCGCCGGCUCAGGCCAGCAUCAGCUCGCUGUCGGGGACAAAAGCUUCAGGAACGUAGCUCUCUUCGGGGAGUGUUAUAGCCUGUUGCAUAAUACCCUUCGGCGGGCUGAGGUACGCGCUCCGCAAGGAUGCUGGCAUAAUGGUCAUCAG
rnacentral:rRNA from 1 species